rnacentral:rRNA from 1 species
GCUAGUCGUGCGGGUUCAGACCCGCGGCAGAUAGCUCCGUAACACGUGGCCAAACUACCCUAUGGAGGGGAAUAACCUCGGGAAACUGAGGCUAACACCCCAUACGGCUUCGACGCUGGAACGCCCGAAGCCAGAAACGCUCCGGCGCCAUAGGAUGUGGCUGCGGCCGAUAAGGUAGACGGUGGGGUAACGGCCCACCGUGCCGAUAAUCGGUACGGGUUGUGAGAGCAAGAGCCCGGAGACGGUAUCUGAGACAAGAUACCGGGCCCUACGGGGCGCAGCAGGCGCGAAACCUUUACACUGCACGACAGUGCGAUAAGGGGACCCCGAGUGCGAGGGCAUACAGUCCUCGCUUUUCUGGACGGUAAGGACGUCUAGGAACAAGUGCUGGGCAAGACCGGUGCCAGCCGCCGCGGUAAUACCGGCAGCACGAGUGAUGGCCGAUCUUAUUGGGCCUAAAGCGUCCGUAGCUUGCCGAGCAAGUUCGUCGGGAAAUCCACCAGCUCAACUGGUGGGCGUCCGGCGAAAACUGUUCGGCUUGGGACCGGAAGACCCAAGGGGAACGUCCGGGGUAGGAGUGAAAUCCCGUAAUCCCGGACGGACCGUCGAUGGCGAAAGCACCUUGGGAAGACGGAUCCGACAGUGAGGGACGAAAGCUGGGGUCUCGAACCGGAUUAGAUACCCGGGUAGUCCCAGCCGUAAACGAUGCUGCUA